UGUAGGAGAAUAUAACACAAUAGAUCUGGUAAAAGAUAAUACAAAGAAAAAACAACAGUUCUUUUGAACUUAUGAAAAAUGAUUGCCUUUUCUACAAUGCUAGCACAGGAGGUUGGUCGCACGUUAAUUGGGGAGAAGGUGCUCAUGGUAAUGGCUGGAGUGGAAUAAGAGGAAUGAUAUCAAAUACAUCAAACACAUGGUUUCCAUGUUUGAUGCCAUUCCAUUUGCUCCGUUCCAGCCAUUAUUAAGAGCCGCUCUCCCCUCAGCAGCCUCCACUGAAUACGAGUAACAGGUAUCAUAUGUUUUGCAGGUGGUUCUCCACUCCAUGCAUAAGUACCAGCCCCGCCUGCACAUUGUCCUGUCUCCAGACCCCACAGCCCUCUGUCAGGGGACUACCUGCGCUUCACCUUCCCUUCAUCGCUGUCACUGCCUACCAGAACUCAGAGGUUCAGAGAAAAGGAAGGACAGAGCUCUGACAAACUAAAUUAAGAUCCAGACCAGUGGAGUCAAAUGAUGAGGCUGAUGUUACCGUCUCCAGCUCUAGCUCAGUGGAUUCCCAUGGUGCAGUAGGAUACAGGACUGAUGACAUCACAUCUCUCUCUGCUGUCCCUGACCCCUUAAUCUCUGCCUUCAUGAACUGGGGAGAUGCAGCUGCAGCCCUGCCCUGUGGCCAAGAGUGAUGGAGGGUCCCGGACCAAAGGACCCACAACAACCACAAACACAACACACUUCGUACCUGGGCCUAUGACCGCCCUGGGCAGCAUAAGGAGGCCAGGAUAUUGGUUUACGAAAUGUUGCCUCUCCUCUCUUCCUCACACACCCUCCACUGGGCCAGACUCAGUUGGCUUCAGGAGGCCACUUGCACAAAGCAGCAGACCAGUGGGGCCUCACCCACCUCACCACAGAAGACCUGGUGCCACACCAGACCACUACCAGGUGCACCAGAAACAGCCCCAGCAGGCUGAGUACCCCCCCCCCCCCACGGGCCAGAGUACUCCAUAGCAUGAUGCUCUACCACCAGAACAGCUGGGCUCUGUGGGGCAACUAAGAGAUAGCCAUGUGGACAUUCAAGUCCCCUCCUCCUCUCUAGAAUACCCCUAUAAGGCACCUAUGCGUGACUUGGAUUUUGAUGAACAGAGUGAGAAAUAAAGCGAUCUCUUGCUCAGUAAA